rnacentral:rRNA from 1 species
AACGAACGCUGGCGGCAGGCCUAACACAUGCAAGUCGAACGCUGUAGCAAUACAGAGUGGCAGACGGGUGAGUAACGCGUGGGAAUCUUCCUAUCGGUACGGAAUAGCUCAGGGAAACUUGGGGUAAUACCGGAUACGCCCUUCGGGGGAAAGAUUUAUCGCCGAUAGAUGAGCCCGCGUCUGAUUAGCUAGUUGGUGAGGUAAUGGCUCACCAAGGCGACGAUCAGUAGCUGGUCUGAGAGGAUGACCAGCCACACUGGGACUGAGACACGGCCCAGACUCCUACGGGAGGCAGCAGUGGGGAAUGUUGGACAAUGGGGGCAACCCUGAUCCAGCCAUGCCGCGUGAGUGACGAAGGUCUUCGGAUUGUAAAGCUCUUUUGGCGGGGACGAUAAUGACGGUACCCGCAGAAUAAGCCCCGGCUAACUUCGUGCCAGCAGCCGCCGUAA